GCUUACGGCCAUACCACCCUGAACACGCCCGAUCUCGUCUGAUCUCGGAAGCUAAGCAGGGUCGGGCCUGGUCAGUACUUGGAUGGGAGACCGCCUGGGAAUACCAGGUGCUGUAAGCG
ensembl:rRNA 5S_rRNA 5S ribosomal RNA